CCCUUUGUUGUCCGACUCUGUUGCCUCCGGGGCGACCCUGCCUUCGGGCGGGGGCUCCGGGUGGACACUUCAAACUCUUGCGUAACUUUGCAGUCUGAGUAAACUUAAUUAAUAAAUUAAAACUUUUAACAACGGAUCUCUUGGUUCUGGCAUCGAUGAAGAACGCAGCGAAAUGCGAUAAGUAAUGUGAAUUGCAGAAUUCAGUGAAUCAUCGAAUCUUUGAACGCACAUUGCGCCCCCUGGUAUUCCGGGGGGCAUGCCUGUUCGAGCGUCAUUUCACCACUCAAGCCUCGCUUGGUAUUGGGCAACGCGGUCCGCCGCGUGCCUCAAAUCGACCGGCUGGGUCUUCUGUCCCCUAAGCGUUGUGGAAACUAUUCGCUAAAGGGUGCUCGGGAGGCUACGCCGUAAAACAAACCCAUUUCUAAGGUUGACCUCGGAUCAGGUAGGGAUACCCGCUG
rnacentral:rRNA from 1 species